GAGGCAGGGGAAAACUGGAGAGAGCGAGAAGAAAAGUGCGAUAGAAGCCCAGCCCCGGGGCAUGAAGAGAACGGCUCAUUCAAACCGUGUUUGGCACCGCUCUUCCUUAAGUGAUCGCUGCGAUCAAGCACGCUGUGGAUGUAGGGAGAGAGAAGGGGGGGGGGGAAGGGGGAAAUCCCUUUUAGUUUUGAGAUUAGGUUGCCAGGCUUUGAAAAGGGCUUAAAACCAAAGUCAUGCUCAGCCUUUUGUGGGAGAGAUCCAGAUGUUCUGUAGAUUUUUUUUUUUGUUUGCAUGUUCAUUUUGAGCGGACCCGGCUGUGCGCGCUGCGUUUACGUGUGCAUGUAUCUGGACUUUGCCGUAGAUCGACGUUGCGCUUGUGGAAUGUCUGCUGAAGUAUUAGCUCGAGGAUCUCCUCCAAGAUUAAAGCUAGUCCUAAGAGCAACCGAAUUGCUGUGACUGACUUUCAUGGGACUGUAAAGAGAGCUCAAAGUCCAAAGAGAAAUGAGGUGUCCGGUAUGGAAGUGCAUCUCAGUCAACAGCCAGCUCCUUUUGCCGAGGCUGGAAAUGGUUUUAACAGGCGGUAAAAUUUCAUCUUGUGGUGUCAAAUUGGGGUCAGUUUGGGGUUAGCGCUCUCAGUGUCCGAGCAGGAGCUGUCCAGCUGUGUGGGGAUUCAUUAAGGGCAAAAGAUCCGUUUCAAGAAAAACAAUACAAAGACAAUCAGAGGGCUAAAGAUCCUCUUCAAAUCGCAUUUUACAAGUGCACCAGAACAAAUAUGGAUGCUGAAACCUAUUCCCUUCAAACUCCUAAAUCGGCUUCUUAGCCCUUGGAGGGAGGGAGAGAGAAAAUCCUCUAAAACUUAAGAAGAGUCUGUUUUCAAUCAGCCUUUCCGAAGUGUGGCAUCUUAGUCCUUUGCUGGCUUUGAGACGUGCCUCCCUCUCUCCCUCCCUCUCUUUUUCCACAGCCUUGCAAAAGCGGAUGGCACAACAGCUGCCUAUAAAACUCCAGAAGAGGAGAGCUCUUCUUUUUACGCUGGAAUUCUCGGUCCGGAGAGAACAAUAUCCUCCUACCUCCUUUUGAAAUGGUACGGAGACCCUCACAACACACAGGCGAGCACUCCAACGAUAUGUGUGUUUAAAGAGAUGUUGAAGAGAUUUCUGAGUUCACGAGGAAGAAGGAGAGGUCUGUUUGGGGAAUGACAGCGCUCCCGUCAGGUAUUUUAGUGACCGUCCCUUCCUUUAAACACUUCGAAUGUCUCUGGUUCUUUCCAUGCAGAAUAUCUUCCCCAGACCAAAUAGGAUUUCUGUUAUACUUCGUGUGUGUGUGUUUGUGAUCCCUUCUGAAGUAAAUUGAGAAGUAAGCUGCGCAAAAGGAGGAAAUCGCCCCUGGGGUGCUUUGUUUACUUUGGUUUGUAAAAUCCUGCUAGGAGAUGGUUUCCUCAGUGCGUGGCAAGUGUUUCUUCAAGAAAUUCAUCAGCCCUUCUACAAUUACUUCGAGCUCUGAAGGAAGAGAGCUGCCAUCACUUUCUCACAUCCCAAGGUGUUGUAUGGAGGAGAGAAGAAAAGGCUGGAGCAUUUAAUUAUGAGGGGGGGGAGGUUGAGGGGUAGAGGAGGCUGCAGAAAGCGGCCCCGAGCCUGUACCUGGAAAAGGAAAACCUGCAAGGGUGUAUCUGGGAGAUGUGUGCCACUGAGAGAUGGGGAAAGUACCCCAUCUCGUGCAGUAAUUAGUCUGAACAAUAAACAUAAUUGGAACAAAAUCAGUUGGAAAUUCCUGCGUUUUUAAUUACGUUUCAUUUUGUGGUAAGCCGUAAAAUUAUGAAUGCCUCUCAAUUAAACACUAUCCACUUGUAAAGCAUUUAACAACAAUUAUUCCUUAAUCAGUUGGAAUGUUAGCCACAAAUGAUGCUGUUAAACAUCAAAGGGACGCCUUAGACGUUACCUUUUAGUCAUAAGUAAGAGGAUUAAUUUCUAUAAUUAGAGGGGAUAAAUAUGUGCAUAAAUAAAUCUAAUUUUUUUACACGUUCUCAUCCUACCCGGGAGAGGCGAGGGUCCUUGACAUCGCCGUCACUUCUGGCUCUCCCCCGGCUCAGAGGAGGCGACCCGGUCUCAGAGAGCAAAGCAGCCAGCCCUUCUCCGCGCCGGUUUCGGGUCCGAAGAGUUUGAGGCGGGCUUUCCGGGCUGCCCGGGGAGCCUCCCCUGGCCGCGCAGGGCAGCAGCGACCGGGCUCUGCUGGGGACUGCGCUUCCCGCCCCGCUCCGCCGCCGCGGGGGCUUCGUGCAUAGGCCCUGCCCCCAAGAGAGGAUGCGCCUCAGCACGGAGGCGCAGGCUUGAGGAGGCACGGCGCCGGCCGGCAGCCCUUCGCAUCUCUCCAGAGCUGGACAUGCACUUUCCAAGUUUUCCCAAUCGCUGGGAGCAAAAUAUGAGGUUUUCCCACUCCCCCCCCUCCUACCCGUCCCGCCUGGUCUCCAUCCUGGGAAUGUGCACAGCAGAGCCCGAGCGCCAGGAACCGUUCCCCCUUUCUGCAUUUGCCGGGCCAAGCGGACGUGGGGGAACGAAGUUCCCCCGGCUCUGAAGGCGGAGACCGCCUCCCUAAAGGUUUUGGGGGAAAAGUUGUGUCCGAGGCCGCGUCGGCACACGGGGAGACCUUGAAUGAGUCUUUGCGUUAGAGUAACUGUCACGCUGAUUGAGGUCCGCGACUCCCUCAUGGCCACCAGCCCCUUUGUCGCCUCUCCCAGCCGACUCCAAACUGAGGGUAGGGAAACUUGCCCCCCGCACCACUCGAGUGCAGCAGAGUACAAGGGAGGGGAAGGGGUUAGGGCAAGGUGAACUUUGCAAAUGUUUUUUCUAGAAGUAGCUCACAUAUGGUGUGAUCUAUGGUGUGAGUCAGGAACGGAGACUUAUUGCAACCCUGUUCCCUCUAUUGGAUAAUUAAUGCUGAUUCAUAGCGGUUUCUACCUACGAAUGUGUGUUUCGUUUUUUUUCUGCCGGGUCCAUGGUUCUUUGGUAUGUUGUUAUUCCCUGAAAGGUAAUUGCACUUGAUAUUCUCUCGGGGAAGGCUCAUUAGCCAAGGGCAGGGUGGCGUUGCCAAUCUCAGAUUCUUUCAACAAUUCAAUGCAAACAUUUGCCCCAAAGGUUUAGUACAGCCCUCCCAGCUCACAGAACAGCCAUUGGAUACAGCAUUUCCCCUAAG